rnacentral:rRNA from 1 species
AGCGAACGCUGGCGGCAGGCUUAACACAUGCAAGUCGAGCGGGCAUAGCAAUAUGUCAGCGGCAGACGGGUGAGUAACGCGUGGGAACGUACCUUUUGGUUCGGGACAACUGAGGGAAACUUCAGCUAAUACCGGAUAAGCCCUUACGGGGAAAGAUUUAUCGCUGAAAGAUCGGCCCGCGUCUGAUUAGCUAGUUGGUGAGGUAAUGGCUCACCAAGGCGACGAUCAGUAGCUGGUCUGAGAGGAUGAUCAGCCACAUUGGGACUGAGACACGGCCCAAACUCCUACGGGAGGCAGCAGUGGGGAAUAUUGGACAAUGGGCGCAAGCCUGAUCCAGCCAUGCCGCGUGAGUGAUGAAGGCCCUAGGGUUGUAAAGCUCUUUUGUGCGGGAAGAUAAUGACGGUACCGCAAGAAUAAGCCCCGGCUAACUUCGUG